CGGAUGGCCAUUAGUGGCCAUUACCACUGAUGAUGACGAAGAUGAUGAAGUAGACCUAUCGUGCUGUUUCAGAGCUUGCAUAUGCGUCUGCUGGUUAGUUUUCAAGAGUUGUUUACACUGUAAUCAGACCUGCAGCAGAGUUGUACAAGUGGUGGGACCCAACUCACUGGAUGAGAGUCUACUAUACAGCAUCUCCACCCAGACUUGAACAACAAAGACAAAGGGAAGGCUAGCUUCUUAUUCAUCAACACAUUCAGAUAGACGUUCAUUAUUGGGAAAGAAACCAGGUCAGAAACAAAAAACAAAUCCACAUAUCACAUUCUAAAAACAAUUUUUGUUAGGCUACAUCUGGAUGCUGCAAUUGUAACAUCUGCUGUAACAAAAAUAGUAAUUUAGUCUUUUUGCAUUUCCAUGACUGAAAUCCUGGGGAACUAAAACAAGCUGUGUUUUAUUCUGUUCUGUUUGUUUCACAGAGAGGGAGAGAGAGAGAGGAUAGUUACACCUGCUUGGCCUAUCAUUUUAAAGCCCUGUGCUGGGCUCCAGAGGGGCGCGCCACCGGGGUGGAGCCACUGCUGAAGUUCACCUGAUACAACUUUGAUCUUCACCAGCGGGGGUGGAGAUGAUUUUAUUUAAGGUGUCUCAGCAUCUCCGUGGCAUUGCGCUGUGUGAGGUACACAGUGAAAUUGCAGGUUUAUUUGCGCUAUGCUGGAUGUGUGCCCUUUCUCGCAAGUGCACACACACACUAAACACACACACACUAAACACAAACACACAGAUCAUUGAACCCCUCUUGGUUCUGCUCCAUCCGGGUUUUGCCCACAGCUGCAGUGUUGUAAAGCUGCAGCUCAGUGUGCCCACCCUUUGGCUGGAGAAACGUGCCUGCAGGUACCAGUACUGGUACUGAUACCAUAUCAGUACUGGAGGGCCUCAGGGCUAGUGCAGCACAGGUAAUAUACAGUCUUUGUCUAUAUGUUCACUCAUCCUCUCUGCCUGUCUGAUUCUGCCAUGUUGGUGACAUGGUGAGUGCUGAAGCUGUGCAGCUGCUGGGCUAGGGGCCUGCUGGACAUAGUGAGGAGAGGAGAGUCUUUGUUAUGGAUGACCACAGACUGUUCUCAUUUAUCACCUAUAUACUGUUAUACUAUAUGUGGCCCUUAAAGCAUCUCAACCAGCUGAAAUAGGCUGACUCAAAGGAAUACAGUAUCUCAAAGCUUAGACUUUCUGUUAUACAGUAGGCUCAUGUAAUAUACUUUAUACAUUUUCUGUUGUGAGUGUUUCUGAUGCCACUUGGUAAAUUAUAUGCAUUCUGUGCUGUCGGAUUAAUUAAGAAGACGAUGUUGAUGCCAUCUACAUUAAAAUACUUUCUGUCUGGCAUCAACAGAACCUAAAACGAAGAAUAAGAGACAACAAACAUUCUCUCUGGUAAUUACAUGAAUCACAUACUGUAUGUAUUCUGAUUCACUGUAUAUUCAGCUAUGUUUAUGAUUGGGAUUACUAAAGCAUCUUUCUGUUGGAGCUUAAAGAACUCAUAAUGUUUCAUUUCCAGUCAACAAUAUGCUAGUGUUGUCUUAUCAGUACUGGAAUAGCGCAAAUCGUCUGAAUAGUAUGUUGGGUACAUUGAUAUACUGUAUUGUAUGUGUAAUCAAACACUCUGAGUGUUUGUGUUAGUCUCAGAUAAGAUACCACUGUUGAAACAUGACAAACAGGUCCAAACAUUACA
ensembl:lncRNA